AGCAGCCGCGGUAAUUCCAGCUCCAAUAGCGUAUAUUAAAGUUGUUGCAGUUAAAAAGCUCGUAGUUGAAUUUCGGGAUCAAUAUGUUGGUCGUGCCUCGGUACGUACUAGCAUAUUGGUUUCUCCCUUCUGACGAACCAUGAUGUCAUUAAUUUGGUGUCUUGGGGAAUCAGGACUGUUACUUUGAAAAAAUUAGAGUGUUUAAAGCAGGCUCACGCUUGAAUACAUUAGCAUGGAAUAAUGAAAUAGGACGUUUGAUUCUAUUUUGUUGGUUUCUAGGAUCGACGUAAUGAUUAAUAGGGAUAGUUGGGGGGCAUUAGUAUUCAAUUGUCAGAGGUGAAAUUCUUGGAUUUAUUGAAGACUAACUACUGCGAAAGCAUUUGCCAAGGAUGUUUUCAUUAAUCAAGAACGAAAGUUAGGGGAUCGAAGACGAUCAGAUACCGUCGUAGUCUUAACCAUAAACUAUGCCGACUAGGGAUCGGAUGAUGUUAAUUUUUUAAUGACUCAUUC
rnacentral:rRNA from 1 species